AUGGGGUAGAGUGCGAGGCAAUCUGCACCAGAUUUAGGAUCUGGCGGGGCAACCCGUGGGGGUUCGACUCCCCCUCCUCGCACCA
rnacentral:tRNA from 1 species